GACAUGGGGGGACUGGGAGACAUGAGGACACUGAGACACCAGGGCCACAAACACUAGGGACACUAGCUUGGAGACAUGGGGACAUUGUGACACUUGAGGCACUGAGAGACAUGGAGGUACUAGGAGACAUGGGGACCGUGAGACACUGGCAGACUGGGGGCACUGGGAGACAAGUGGGCACUGAGACACCAGGGACACUGAAUGGGAGACAUGGGGACACUGUAUCCCCAUGUGUCUGUGUCAUAAUGUUUCCCCAUGUCCCUUAGUGUCUCAGUGUCUGCCAUAAUGUCUCCCAGUGUACCUUAGUAUCUCAGUGCAUGUCUCCUUGCAGCCUUUCACCCCAACCCUUACUUCCCUGAGCUGCAGGCUGUCUCUGCAGGGUGGGAGUUGCUGUCUGGCCUCUCUGUGCUGUAUAGCUGCACCCCUGCAGAUCAGUGAGUAUAGACAGGCAGGGAGGGAUAUGCUGGAACUUCCUAACCCUGCCUGUCUCCACAUACAGCGACCCCUGCUGGCCAGUGCUGGUAUUGCAUAGUAAUCUCUUGUUUAUAUCUUGAAAAAUACCAGCAUUUGUAUUGCCAGUAUCACUGCAAUAUUGGCACCAGCCAGGCAGCCUUAAAUACGGGCUGUGCCAAUAAAAUAAAAGCCAGGUGGAAUCCCUAAGAGUAGUGUGUGGAAAAAAANNNNNNNNNNNNNNNNNNNNNNNNNNNNNNNNNNNNNNNNNNNNNNNNNNNNNNNNNNNNNNNNNNNNNNNNNNNNNNNNNNNNNNNNNNNNNNNNNNNNACUGACUGCUAUUCAAUUCAUAACAGUAAAAAAAGUUUUUUGUUUUUAAAUCCAAGCUAUUGUGACACAGGAUCUAAUUAGUGGCACUUGUCAGCGUAUCCACUGUUAGCGUAACACACCCGCUUUAAGGACACUGACUGCUAUUCAAUCUAUAACAGUGAAAAAAGCUUUUUGUUUUAAAUCCAAGCUAUUGUGACACCAGAUAUAAGUGGUGGCACUGACUGGGGAAAUGGGCACAGUAUCCACUGUGAGCCUGACACAGAAGCUUGCAGCAGUGGCAGACAACUGACUGCUAUUCAAUCUAUAACAGUGAAAAAAGUUUUUUGUUUUUAAAUCCAAGCUAUUGUGACACCAGAUGUAAGUGGUGGCACUGACUGUGGAAAUGGGUACUGUGAGCCUGGACACAGAAGCUGGCAGCAGUGGCAGACAACUAAGUGCAAUUACAUUACAUAGAAAAAAAAAAAUUAAAAAAAGCAUACCCUUAUUCCUAACCUAGCUAUGCUUUUCCCUAUCUUAUGAACAGCAGCUACACUUUCCCUCCUCUUACUAAGCAUGCAGCUUGAGAAUGAAUCUAAAAUGGAUGCCUUCCAGGAGGUGGGAGUGUCUGCUAGGGAGGUUGUGCUGCUAAUUGGCUGGAAUGUGUCUGCUGACUGUGAGGUACAGGGUCAAAGUUUACUCAAUGAUGACGAAUAGGGGGCGGGUCGAACCGCGCAUAUGUUCGCCCGCCGUGGCGAACGCGAACAUGCUAUGUUCGCCGGGAACCGUUCGCCAGCGAACCGUUCGGUACAUCACUAUUUGACAUAUGUUUUUUAUUUGGAGUAUGCUGAUUCUGAAAAUGUAAGUGAAUGUGAAUGUGAUGCAUACUUUUCAAGUUAUGAAUAAUGUGGAAAAAUUGUAUUUCUCUGCUUGUUAUAAUUACAUUACCCAUUGUGUAAGGUAAUUGUAUCACAGGCAGAGGGGAGGAUUUUGUGUGGGAGUGUCUGAGUGUAUUGUAUGUGUUUAUUGGUUGUGUUCCAAAACCCUGUGGGUGGUACUAAUGUGUAAGAAUGUGUACAUAAGCACAAUAAACCCACAGCUCUGACUGUUCAGUGCUUGACCCUCAACACGAAGCUUUGUCUCAUUCUUGGGGGGAUUUACUGUAUGCUGUUAGAGACUGAUUGCCACGAGUGUAAGCCGCUUGGGUGCUUUUCCUGUUCAGCUGCCAGCAGCUAUUCGUGAGGUUCCAGUUCAGGAGUUUGGAGCAUUCCCUUGUAUCCAGUUUGGGAGUUUGGUGUUCUGCAGUAGCUGUGCCUCUGUCUCUGGAAGGGAAGAUCUACUAAACGGCAGUUUAACCCCUUUUAUGCCCUGGGGUGCCGUUACAUACCUGAUGUAAGAACAGACACCAUAUCCUACGCUGCUGGCAUCGGAAAAGUGGUGCUGUUCCUCCUUUACUGUUACUGAAGUCUGACGGAUGGUAGCAUCUGGGUAUCUUGAUUUCCUUCAAAACUUGCAGACUACUCUUCCAGGCCUCCCAUCAUAGGCCUAAGCUCUGAAGGAAGUGCUUCAGCCCAACUGAUGCCCCUGCGGCAAAGCUCUUGGAGAAUGCACUUGCCACUUAAUAUGAAGGGAGCUAUGAAGCUUAGAGGGUCGUAGAGAGAGGACACGACUGACAGAACACCACGAUGAGUUGAGGGUGGAUCCUUUAUGUCAAAGCUGAAACUGAAAGUGUUGUUUUCAAUUGACCACUGAAUGCAAAGCACUUGUCCUUCUGGUGUUGAGUUUGGGUUAAGUUUGAGAGGCUGACUGGUUGUUGCUCUUUCUGAUGGAGCUACACAAGACAGAAUGUCCUUUUUGUUAGAGUUGAACUUAUGCAGAUGUAUGCCGGCAUUCUUGAAUCUGGUGCUUCGAUGACCAGAUUUGUAGCUUCACUGACUGUUGAAACACUAGUUAGGCCGUCGUCAACAUAAAAGUUCUUCUUGAUGAAGGCUGAUGCUGAGGGGAAAUCUGCUUUGUGUUGUUGUGCAAGGUACUUAAGGCCAAAGUUGGCACAUCCUGGAGAGGAGCUGGCACAUUCUGCACUCCUUGGGUUCUGUUUCCAACUGACCACCCUCCCACCAAAGGAACCUUAAAUAGUUGCGCAUUUCGGGUGGGAUAUAGAACUGAUGGAACAUCUUUUUUAAUGUCACAUAUCACUGCAACCACUUCCUUCCUGAAGCAACAGAGAACUCCCACUUGGGAAUUUAUCAGGUCGGGACCUGUCAGUAAAGUGUCAUUUAGGGAGAUGCCUUGGAACUUUGCUGAAUAAUCUGACUUCUUGGGUGAUAAACCCUGUGAUGUGGAAUGUACCACACUAUUUCUCCCUCCAACAAUGAAGGGGCUGGUUCUGCAUUGCUUUUACUUAUCGUUUCUUUCAUGAAUGCAGUGUAGUGCUCAUGGUACUGUUUGUUGGCCUUUAACCUUUUCUUAAGAUGUUUGAGUCGAAUAAUGGCCAGCCUCUCAUUGUUUGGUAGUACCGGUUGAAUGUCAUCUUUGAAGGGUAACGGCAUCUCAUAGUGUCCAUCUUCCCUUUUCAUUAUGGUUUCAGAGAGAAACUGCACAAAGCAAACGUUAUCUUGAGACACGUACUUGUCCUCAUAAUUUCUUUCAAUGAAGUCCAUUUCUAAAGCCUUUAACACAUUGUGACCGGGGGCAUUGGCAUUUCUUUCACUGCAACUCUGUGUACAAAACUAUGGCUACCCUGUCUAUCAAGAUGUGGAUUUGUUGAUCCUAUGAUGCUCCAGCUGAGCACGGUUCUUUGAGCGAAGGGUUUAUUUUCAAAGCCAGUAACAACCUCCAAGGGAGCCAGUUCUGAUGGACAGUCAUAGCCAAUCAACAGUCCAACUUCGCAGUCUUGAAGUUGCUGUAGCUUGUUUGCCAUGUGUGUGAGGUGUGACCACUGGAGUGCAAUCUUCUUAGUGGGAAUGUGAGACUUAUCCACUGGGAUGAAAUUUCUUGUGUAGGCUUGACGGAGUUGGACUUGAGCUUUAGAGUUGAAGCCAGGCACUUGCAGACCGUGAGCGAUUUGGCUUAAUAUGACGGUGUCGACAGCUGUCAUUGUGCUGAGCUUUAGUUGUAGCGGCUGGGUGCUCACAGUUAGCUGAGAUACUACGUCUGCCAAAAUAAAGGUUGAAUCACUCUGCGUAAGUAAGGAUUUCUCUCUGGGGCUCAGCUGCAGCUGACAGCAGGACUGGAACAAUACAAGAUGUGGCAGUAGUAUGCCUUGUCAAUGUAUGGGACAUAACUUUGGCAAUGUUGUUGUUUGCUUUGCUUCCUGUGGCUACUGAUUCAUUGUUCGGUGUUCAUGUUCUGUGUGUCUCUGUAUGUGUAAACAGGUUGGAUGACGUCUACUACAUAUACUACAUGUGUGUCUUCCUUUGCAAUUUUUGGUAGUGUGGCCUUUUCUUAAGCAACCAAAGCAGAGGUGGUUUUCGUAAAUGAAAAUCUUCUUUUCAUCAGCAGUCUUUGCUGCAAAGGUUGAACAUUUAGCAAUGCCAUGUGUUUCAUCUUUGCAGACUAGGCAAGGUGGCUUUCGCCUUGAGGUUGAAAUUUCUGGCAUACUGGAGGUAGAGGGUUUCAAUUGAGUGUUUGUGUUGAGUGCCUUGGUUCUCUUGGGAAGUCUCUCAUCUGUAAUUUUAGUGUUAGGGAGAAAGGGAGAGGCAAUAGGGUUUCACACGUGCUCAGCUACCAUUUGCAGGAACUCUGUGAAACAAGCAAAAGUUGGAUAUUUUUGAGACUUAUCUAACUCAUUUACAACGAUGCGACUCCAUCUGCGCAUGAUCCAUUCAGGCAGUUUCUUGAGAAGCUUGUGAUUUUCUUCACAAUCAUUAAGUAUAUAUAGGCCCUUAACAUGAGGAAUGGCCUCAACACAACCUUAAAGGAAAUCUGUAAACUCUCUUAAUGCUACAGGGUCAUUUUCUGGUAUCUUAAGCCAUUUAGUUAACUUUUCUUGGAAAGCUCUUGGAAUGAUGAAUGGACCUCCAUACCUCUCCUGUAGGAUUAUCCAAGCACAUAGAUAAGCGUCUUCUGAAUUUCAAUAAAAGAAACCUUCCACUGCCUUAUGAGCUUCACCUCUGAGAUAAUUCUUCAAGUACCACACAGGGAGUGGUUUCUAAUCAAUCAGUGCAGUGAAGGAUAUCUUCCAAUCUAUGAACGUUAAUGGAUCACCUGUAAAUACAGUUGGUUCAGGUAUAGGGAGACGGUUGGAAAUGAGUAAACUUGCAAGUCCUGGAGUUAGACUAACCUCUUCUUGUGAUCUUGACACCUCAAGUGGCGUAUUUGAAGGUUGGAAUGCACAGCUUGUGGAUUUAAUGAGAUUUGAGGUUCAUUAUUUUGGCAGAGGUAUUGCACCUUGUGGUCUGCCUUCUGCUCACAAUUUUCAAGACCAUCAUAGGCAUUGUAAGCUUUCACUCGUGCUGCUGCUACCUUGACUUCCUUUUCUGCGUGAAGCUGUUGUAGCCUUGUUUUUUCCUUAUCUAACUUCAGUUUAAUUUCUGCAAGCAUUUGUGCCUCUUUAAGCUUUAAUUCACUCUCCAGUUUGUUCAGUUUUUUUUGUUGCUUAUGUAUCUGUUGCAUUUCAUUUUCCUGUUCUAUCUUGGCAGCAAGGUUGGCUUCUGCAUCUGUGCGUCUGCUAGAAGAACUGGAGGUGGCUCUUGAGCUUGAGUCAGAUCCUUGUAAUGACUCUGAAAAGGCUGUUUUUGUGUUUCCAAAGACAAACUCGUACUCCUCCUUAUUAAGUAUCAUCCUCACUUUUCCCUUCUCAAGUCGGUCAUUAAAGGUUCCGUCUAUAUUCUCUAGUUGUUUACUGGUGAGGUCACAGAUUUCAGCUGUUAAAGCGAUACAGGCAUCCAUUCUCUUAACAAUAUCUGGAGUAGUGGAAUGAUUGCGUCGAAUGGGCUCAUAAUGUUGGUAUACUAACGCUUCUUUGGCUUUAAUCUCCUUCAGUCUUAUGUUAAGGUCCACAGAAGGGUGAGCGCCGGCACGCGCGGGGUUGGGACGUGGGGUGUGGGGGGGCUGGCGUAUUCCCCUCUUCCCUUCCCCCCGCCUUGGCCAACAUCCCCCUUCCCUUCCUCACCCCCCCCCCUUUUUUUUUUCCCUUCACUUCUCCUCUCCCAUACCAUGCAUGACUGACCUUACACCAACACACCCCUAGACAGAUAAUGGUCACUGACUUGUUAACACAGAGUCAUUACCUUAAGCCAAAUACUCGAGCGGGACGAAAGCGGGGGAGAGAUUAGUCCCCCCCCCCAAAAGGGAAGAGGGGAAAAAAGAAAGGGAAGAAAAAAGAGGAAAACACGAUUCCCUUACCCUACCUUCCCCCAUAGAGACAUACAGAACACGUUCUAAAGGUCAGUUUGUGCAGUUGCGCUCGGUUGUUCAGUUAACCACAGAGGCUGGGUAGGGAAAUACAGGCGGGAAACAGGGAGUGAGCAUUACCAUAUGUGCGAUAACAUGCUUGGAGUCUGUAAGCUUUAUACUUGUUUAUUCUCUGUAUAUAUGCAUACUGUGCUUCAAUAAAAAUGAAGAUUGCCAAAAAAAAAAAAAAAAUGUUAAGGUCCACAGUUGAGCAGAAAAUCUUUAACUUCAUCCUAGUUUCCUUUGCUAGCUCCUUCCAAGAGUCAUAUGCCUUGUUAAAUGCCUUCUCAUUUCUCUCAGCUGUUUCUUCGUGCAUUUCUUGGUCUUUUUCUGUUAAGCUUCACUUUCUGGAGCUGGACUGCACCUGUUGUGACUCUGUGGGUUUGUCUGUUUCUUCAGCAGGUGACAACAUUUUGUUCUAGUGUGCCUUUGCCUUUCAGGUGUGUGUGCUUUUUGAUGGUAGGUAGGAAAUCAGUAAUUAGCCCCUUAGUUUUUAUUAGUUUAUUCAUUAGUCCCCCUAGAAUGGCACGUCGCUACUCAGCAUAGGAGGUGUAUGACAUUCUGGCAGGCAGUGAUAGUGACAAUCUUCAAGACAGUGACACUAUCAUUGCCUCUGACAUUCAGCCUCUGAGUGAGUCCUGAAGUGAGGGUGCCCCACCACCAACUACAAGAGGACGCAUAGAAAGCCCAAUGCCAGACAGAGACUGCCCCCAAACCUGACGGCCCCAGAACUACCCCCAUUCAUGGCAAGCUCUGGCAUCACUGUUAUGGAGGAUGCUUGUGAGACAAUAAAAUAUUUUCUGUUGUUUGUCAGAAGUAAUAUAAAGGGUAUGCUUUAUUUACCCUCCAAUUUCCUUUUCCUUUUUCUCCAUUACUGCCCCGGAGAUGUUAUCUGUAUGACUACAUGUCCCAUAUAUCUAAGGGAAAAAGGAGAGUUGAAAUACGUCACUUCCGGGUGACACAAACUUUGCUACUUCUCAUCACGGCUAUGAUGUCUGACGUGACAAUGGACUACAUGUCCCAUCACACACUGAGACUCGCAUUGCGUCACUUGCUGGCAACGCAUGCGACCUCAGCAGAAGCAGGAAGUGGAACAGCACACCGGAUAAGAAUUAAGACUGCCUAUAAAAGUCUAGUUAGUUUCCAGAUGGACUGAUACUUCUGAAGAUGCCCAAACCCAGGGCGAAACGCGUCAAGUAGGGACUGGAAGCUCCUUUUUAAUAUAUAGAUUUUUAUACUCUAUAUUAAUAAAAGUUAUUAUUAUUUUCCACAUCCCUUUUGUUUGUUUUUUUACUUUUUCCUGGUGCUGUUCUAUCAGGAUUCCUGCUCAUCCAACAUCCUUUGGUGGGGAUUAUACCACCAUAAGCUUUUAUUACCAGAACAAGUAAUUGCUCUGGAAAUCGUAAGUAGGAUACCUGCUUUUAUUUUAAUGUAUAUUAUUCACUAUAUACUGUUGAACACCAACUACAGCCAUUAUCCACAUAUCCUAAGACUGGGAUUAUACCGUCCAGGCGCUAUACGGCAGAGCUCUUAGCAGCUCUGCAAAGUGUGAGUUAGUCUUUUAUUUGGUUUUUUUUUUUAUAUUCACCUGAAGAGGUGGUUUUAUCAGUCUGUACAGGUGGUUAAACAGAUGUUUAAAAAGCAACUGUGUUAAAAUAAUUUCUGUGACAAAUUGAACUAUUAUUUUUUCUGUUUUUAUUUCUUUGAGGGUUAUAUACACCGCUACAAUAUUGGACCGCGUAUAGUGUAUGUAUAUACCAUUACUUUACUGUAUUCACUUUAAGUAGUUUAUAUCUUCUGGCGCGGUUUACCAUUCUGUUUUUCUUCCACUUUUGGUCACUACAAGCAAGGAUUGGGAAGUCUUGCUGGUUUACUGCUCCUACUCCUAUUUUGUUAUUUUAGUGGGCGCCUAACCCUUGUUGUUUUUUGAUAUUUCAGCUAAUGGUUGAGCAAACCAAUUUAUUUGCCAACCAAUAUCUGACUGCGAAUCCGGGGUCAAUGCUGGGCCAUACUCUAGUUAUGGUUAUUGUAAAAAAGCAGAGUAUCAGGUUCUACUGGUACAAGCACCCCAUCCUGGCUACCCCUCUUUUCCCAGGGGUUUUUAAGAGGGAUCGCUAUAAGCAGCUGCUGCAUUUCCUCUUCUUUAACGAUAAUGCACUGUGCCCCCCCAAGAAACAACCCAUUGUUUGACAGGCUCUACAAAAUUUGACCCCUAAUCCAACUCCUGUCAGACAAAUGUUCCCAAAAUUAUGUCCGUGAUGAAAAUAUUUGUGUAGAUGAAAUCCCUAAUGAAGUUCAAAGGUAGAUUGCUUUUUAAGCAGUUUAUCCCUUCUAAACAGUCCCAAAACAGUGUAAAAUUUUACAAACUAUUUGAGUCCACUUCUGGAUAUACAUGGGCAUUUUGUAUUUACCAGGGGAAGGAUAGCCAUCUUGACCCACCAGGAUACCCUGAUUAUGUGGGUACAAGUGGUAAGAUUGUAUGGGAUCAUAGUACAGGCUAUGGGUUGAGAACUACUAUAAAAGUAUAGAAUUAUUUAAACAUGUAGUUUGCUUUGAAACCCUAGCCUAGAGUUCCUCCAGGAUGAGUUGAUGGCCCUUCGGUUCACAGAUUGAAGCUGUCUACAAAGCACAACAAAACUACACUGACCGUGUCUGUGAGAGGUGGAACUUAGCAGCUGGUAAAGCCGAAGUGGAUCGUAGACUACAGCAAGUUAAUGAGUAGACUUGGCUGACCAAUGCAUACAGCCCUAUCUGGUGAACCAAAAGAGUAGGACCUGUUACAAGAAAAUUGCAAUAUGUAUACCCCCAUUGCAAUGUUCAACUCCUUUGUGCUUCAUAAAAAGGAAGACAUAGAGAAUGGUAGACCAUACCCAUUUCUAGAGUUUAUGACCAAAUUUGGUCUGAAACUUUAUUUGCCCUGGCCCCCAAUCCUUCCCCCCCUUUGGAAUCCGAAGAUGUCCAAACACCUUUCGGCAACAUUUCCCUUCUUGAAUCCCCCCACACCCUGUAAAAGGUCACCCCAAAGAAAAUGCUGUGUUUGCUGGAAGAGAGUAGUCCGAGAGGAAUCCAGUUAUUACUGCCCCUCCUGUCCAUCCCUACCCGCCCUCUGCAUAACAAACUGUUUUAAAGUCUACCAUGAUUUUCUCUCCUGGGCUGCCAUACUUUCUCAAAAGAGACAUAGACCCAGAAAAUCACUUUGUCAAACUUACAAGCUGAAAAGGGCAUCUAAUAUAUUUGGAUGCUGGAAGGGAGGGGGGAUUGGAAAAAGGUAGGUUAAAUAAGGUAGUAGAGUAUUGUCAUGCAUAAAAAGGGACAUUAAUUCUCAUACAUUUUUAUGAUGAAAAUAUAAGUUUGCCUUUUUAUAAAUCAAAAACCUUAAAUAUGCUGUGUUUUUUCAGGCACCUGUUCUAAACAAGCAUAUUAUGGCACUAGAAAAAGUGCAGAGGUAGGCUGCAAAAUUGAUGCAAGGACUGGAACAUUUUGGUUGUGAAAAAAAUGCUAACACGUGUUUAGCUUAGAAAAAGAGUGCCUCGAACAAAUAUAUUUGGGGCAAAUACAAACCAUUGUCUGGAAAUCUAUUCAUAGCUAGGACUAUACAUCGGACUUUGGGUCACACAUUUAGACUGUAAGAAAUUAAAUUUAGUCUAAGGCAAAGGAAAGGUUUUUUUUUUUACAAUGAGAACAACAAGGAUGUGGAAUUCGUUACCUGAAGAGGUGGUUUUAUCAGUCUGUACAGAUGGUUAAACAGAUGUUUAAAAAGCAACUGGUUGAAUACAUGCAAAAACACAUUAUUCAGGGAUAUGAUUUUUUUUUCAAUUUGACAAUUUUUAUUUUGUCAUAUUUCAUAACUGGGGGGUACAGAAAGGAAAAAAGGGGAGGGGUAUUGCAGUAUUGUUGCCUUUUACACGUUGGCAUCAUACCAUACAUGUUACAUGCGGUAGGAUUGCUAUCCCCGCUCUGCGUGAGCGCUCGUCUAUACGGUAUUGCCUUUGUGACAUAUGUGACAUGUGAACACAGUGCAGGAAUAUCUAUAUGUGUCCUUCGUAUUAAUGCAUUGUUAACCUCAGGUAUUUAACUAUGUACCUUGGCAGCUGGCCUCGUUUGUUUAUCUGAUUUGUCCUUUGGUGACUGCUGCUGCUUGUGGCAGGUUAGGGUAUGACCCGCUGUUAAUUGGGUUCUUGCCAUGAGUGCCUCUGAAGGUAGCCUACAGGGGAGGGGAUGAAUUUGGGUAUAACCGGGGUUAACUUGGUAUUAGUUUUGCUGUUGCUGAUCUUGUUGCCCUCAAAUUACUGUGCCCCAGACGGUUUGUAGCCCGCAUGCAUGGAUGUCCUUUAUGUAGGUGUAUGGCUUAGUUAUGGGGCUGAGGGUGAGUUAUGUGGUCUGAUGAGUUUGCAAGUAUUUUGUCCACAUCUCUUUCGCUAUGGCGUUGUCUGACCCUAUUCUAUUUUGGUUCCAUAUUAUCGCCUCGUAGUCGAGGGUUGUGGGGUGAGCAAAGUGGCUGUCUCGGCAAUUGAGGGAGUCAGCUGUUGUGACGAGACCAAUCUCGCCACAUUGCAUUGGAGAAGCCUGGUUGCUCGCCUGUUGCCUUUGGAUUAUGGCCCCAUGUUAAAAGCCUUCUUUUCCCCUGCAGAAAAGGCUUAUUCGUGCCUUUCUGCCCGGCGGUCAGUAGAUUCAAUCUACCAAACAAACAACCGAUUGACUGGACCACCUGUAUUGGGAGUGUGUCGGCAAUUAACCUCCCAGAAGCUGCAGUUAACCACAGCUUAAUUGACGAAUGCUGGUUGGCCGCCAUUCGUAUACCGAACACAAUACUAUGGAACUGGAAACGGACAGUUAUUUGCGCGAACACCGCUGACCCGUCAGCCUCCUUGCUUCUGCAUUCGGUCAUUUAACCGGAUGCCUGUUCAUUCGGUAGUUUAAACCGUAUGAAUAGCAUUACCCCAGAUAGCCAUCCCGUGGAGUCUAUUCGUAUGGAGAACAGACUUUGUGAACACUUUAGCUUCACGGCGAUUGGACUGUGUGCAUUGGAUCUGAGCGCUAUUUGGUACUUUUGUGCGCUAAGCUAUCUAAGCUAUCUGGGGAUAGGUAGAAUGUAUAUGUUUUGUGCAACAGUUGUAACUUUAAACAUUUUAAUGUCUUUUAUUGUCUUUUACUGCCAUGUGGUUAAUGGAGUUUUGCCUCUGUCCUGGGAGAUAAUUGGAUUACUUCCCAAUUAUCUCCAGGACAGAGGGAGGGAAGUUGGGAUGCAUUGUGGGGAUGUUUUACUUCUGUGUGUCUGUCAUUGGUUCAUGUCUGUCCUUUGUCACAGUCUCCCAUUUGGUCCCCUAGGGGAGUGUCCACCAGGUGGGAGACCUGCAUAAAUACUGGGCUGGUAGCCCUCAUUAAUCCAGACCACUGCUUGACCCUCAACACGGAGCUCUGUCUCGUUCUUGGGGGGAUUUACUUUAUGCUGAUAGAGACUGAUUGCUAGGAGUGUAAGCCGCUUGGGUGCUUUUCCUAUUCGUCUGCUAGCAGCUAUUCGUGAGGUUCCAGUUCGGGAGUUUGGAGUGCUAUUUUGUAUGCAGUUCGGGAGUUUUUGAAGAUGGUUUGUAAUGUUGGGGUCGUCUUUGUCUUAUUGGUGAUCUGUAUUUUUUUGGUGAUAAAUAUUGUCUGUAUUGAUCUCUAUGUUGAUAUUUAGAUGAUCUCUGGUGUUUCUGUUGCGGAAAGUGGUAAUUCUGAUGGUGAAAAUGAGAGGGAGGUGCAGUAAGUUGGUGGUUGGGUCUGUGAUACUGUUGUGACUUGGUAGAAUUAGUGUCUUGAGUGUAAUCAUAUUCAGUGUAUUUAGUUUCUGAUGUAUAGUUUUUAUGUAGGUGAUAUCUUCUGACUUGGUUGUUGUUAUAGUCUUGUUUGUCUCUUAUGUAUUUCUUUAUUUUUAUGUGCUUGGUAUCCGUUUCAACUUUUUCAGUUUUACUCUGGAUAAGUACAGAGUUACAUAGUUACAUAGCUGAAAAGAGACUUGCGUCCAUCAAGUUCAGCCUACCUCACAUUUGUUUUUUGCUGUUGAUCCAAAAGAAGGCAAAAAAACCCAGUUUGAAG
rnacentral:lncRNA from 1 species